rnacentral:rRNA from 1 species
GACGAGCCACCCAAACGUUAUUCGGAAUUACUGGGCUUAAAGGGUGCGUAGGCGGUGCAGCAAGUCGGGAGUGAAAUACCUCAGCUUAACUGAGGAACUGCUUUCGAUACUGCUGUGCUUGAGUAAGACAGAGGUAAGCGGAACUUAGGGUGGAGCGGUGAAAUGCGUUGAUAUCCUAAGGAACACCGGUGGCGAAGGCGGCUUACUGGGUCGUUAACUGACGCUGAGGCACGAAAGCCAGGGUAGCAAACGG